AGCGAACGCUAGCGGCGGGCCUAACACAUGCAAGUCGAGCGGCAGCACGGCAGUAGCAAUACUGUGGGUGGCGAGUGGCGGACGGGUGAGGAAUACAUCGGGAUCUACCCUGUUGUGGGGGAUAACGUAGGGAAACUUACGCUAAUACCGCAUAAGAACUGAGGUUGAAAGCGGCGGACCGCAAGGCGUCGCGCGAUUGGAUGAACCGAUGUCCGAUUAGCUAGUUGGCGGGGUAAAGGCCCACCAAGGCGACGAUCGGUAGCUGGUCUGAGAGGACGACCAGCCACACUGGAACUGAGACACGGUCCAGACUCCUACGGGAGGCAGCAGUGGGGAAUAUUGGACAAUGGGCGCAAGCCUGAUCCAGCCAUGCCGCGUGGGUGAAGAAGGCCUUCGGUUGUAAAGACCCUUUUGUCCGGUAAAGAAAAGACAAUUCGGUUAAUACCCGGGUAGUUCGUGACGGUACCGAAGGAAUAAGCACCGGCUAACUU
rnacentral:rRNA from 1 species